rnacentral:rRNA from 3 species
CUGAACUUAAGCAUAUCA